GGUUCCAUAGCAUAGAGGUUAGUACGUCUGCUUUACAUGCAGAAGGUCCUGGGUUUGUGCCCCAGUGGAGCUG
rnacentral:tRNA from 1 species